rfam:Clostridium hiranonis DSM 13275 Scfld1 genomic scaffold, whole genome shotgun sequence.
AACAACAUAGAUAAAAACACAGUUCGGUUGGUAGUCCGGACGCGGAAUUUCCGUAAGUAACCUGCCUCCUUGGUUGUCCAUUCUAUGUAUUUUACAA